UCUCCUCUCGAAUGCAAGUGUCAGGUGUGUGUAGUCCCAGAGGGCGCUGUGCUGGGAAUAGAUCCGUUCUCAGCACAGAGGGAAUGUGGCAUUUGGCCCCAGGAAGGGUCUGCCUGGCUGAGGGGCAAUUGUUCAGCUGCCUAGGGCUAAGGCUGGUCUCCGGCCUGUGGGGUGUCCACAGGCUUGCCCGCCCACCUUGUCCCCUCACCUCUCAGGCCAUGCCCACACUGGUGUGGUGUCAGAGCCUGCAGGAUUGACUUACUGUCCUUGGAGCAGCCCUGCGAAACCCAAACCUGCCUCAGGGCAACAUGGGGGAAGGAGGGCUGUAAAUUGUCCCAGGCCAAACCUCCAUAAACCCAUAAACAUGGGGUCCCCUGCAGCCUGGCCAUGGCCUCCGAACCUGUCAGCAACACCUUACAGGGAGCCCCUGACACUAAGUAAACACCUGAGAAAUAAAUUACCCCAGAAGAGAUGAGAUGGGCUUCCAGGAGCACUGAAGGAGGAAGCACUUGAUCUUUUAAGAACCUCCUUUAAAAGAUAGAAAGUGGGUGUUGGAGGUGACUGGAAGAGGAUGACCCUGAGGAAUGUAAAUGACAGAAUGCGUAGCAGAAGGAUAUGGAAGAGGCAGGGAGGGGCUUCGGGGAUCACUGUGCACGUGCUCUGAGAACACCCUGCCCACAGCCUCUUUAAGGUGACCGAGCAUGGGAGGAGGCUGCAGGGGGUGCUCAGGUCUGAGUGCCAUCCUUACCCCUGUUCACUGCUGGCACCAGGCCUGUGCCUGGCGUGUGCUCCAACAGGAGGGCCCUCGACAGCCCAUCUUGUUGCCUCCCGUGGUGACUGCACCUGGGAGUGGAUUGGCCGGCUGGUCUCUAGUGGUGUUUCCCAGGGUCCUUGGCCCCUCUGACGUGGCGGGCAGGAGGCAGUUGGUGCCCUGUGUUCUUCCAUGCUUGUCUAAUCGCUUGCAAAGCAGAGAAUGAGUAGGAAUGAACUGCCACAGCAGGACAGGGUUGAGGCCUCUCUGGUGAGCGAGGGAACUGGGCUGCUCUAACUUCUGAAGAGUGGGCUCUGGCUCAAGACUCCAGUCAGCGAGAAGCCCACAGAGAUCAAAGCAGGAGCAAGUACAGCUGUCCUGGCCCCGGGGCCCAGCCGUGGGGCGUGCCUGGGCACGGCUUCACCCACACGCCCCAUUGUCAGCCUAGACAGGAUCCGCCUGCAGGCUGGCCAGGCAUCACCCAGCCCCAUGUGUCCUGGACACGCACACGUACUCUUCACGGGCACUCAUAAGUGGCUGUCCUCCGGAAUCCUGCUGCCCUUGCCUGCUGAGGCCACACCAGUGAUCCCACAGAGCCCAGUCACCUGGCACCCUGUUGGGUUUCAAAUCUCCUGUUGGUGUUGAUGUCUGCUUUUGUUAACUACCUUGGAAAUGUUUAACCUUUUGAUUGUUUCCUCUGGCGUCUUUGUUUACCUUCCUCACUGUUCUACCUCCUGGCCAGGUCUCUCAGCUUAGCUGCCCUGGUGUGGGGUGUUUUCCAAACCUUCCAGCCACAGCUGCCCCCCUCAGGCUGGACGGCUCAGAGGUGACAGGGCUUCUCCUCUGCCUGCAGACCCUCAGCCUGCAGACCUCCAGUGGGCCCAUCUCACAGGUUCAGUCUUAACCAGCUGAGCACAGUCAACAAGGCAGAAGUGUGUGGAGGAAAGUCAGGUAAAUCUGCUUCAGAAGCGAAGUGUCUUUAGAAGCACAGCCUGGAGGUCCCUUCCCUGCCUACAUGGGGAGCUGCCGUCCUUGGGAUUCAUGCACAUUAAGACCUUCCCCAUCCAAACUCACCUUCCAGCAGGGAUUUGACUUUGGAUGACAAGGCUUUAUUUGUAAAUAUGCGCUUAAUAUGCAACUUUGAGAAUAAAAUAGAAACAUCAUGUAUUUUAAAAUAUAAGAUGAAGUGUGACGCACUGUAUACAAUUUAAUAUAUAUUUUUAGGAUUUUGUUAUUUAAGAAAAUGGAAUGUAAUGGUACUUAACUUUUACAAAAGAGAAAAAAAUGUUAUUUUUACUGUCUGGAGAAAAUAAAUAUUCUCAUUGUUG